UGACCUCAGAUCAGGCAAGGCAACCCGCUGAAUUUAAGCAUAUUAAUAAGCGGAGGAAAAGAAACUAACAAGGAUUCCCCUAGUAAUGGCGAAUGAAGCGGGAACAGCUCAAAUUUAAAAUCUCCGUUGCUUGCAACGGCGAAUUGUAGUUUCGAGAAGCACUUUCUCGGCGGAUCCGAGGUCGUCCAAGUUGCUUGGAACAGCACGUCGUAGAGGGUGACAACCCGUCUGCGGCGAUCUCGGCCGUUCACGAUGUGCUUUCGACGAGUCGGGUUGUUUGGGAAUGCAGCCCAAAAUGGGUGGUAAACUCCAUCUAAAGCUAAAUAUUGGCACGAGACCGAUAGCGAACAAGUACCGUGAGGGAAAGAUGAAAAGCACUUUGAAAAGAGAGUUAAAAAGUACGUGAAACCGUUAAAAGGGAAACGAAUGGGGUUAGCAAUGCGUCGUGCGAGAUUCAGCCGGUGGGUGGGCCAGGCGGGCGGUUGGCGGAUCUGAAUGGACCGCUGCCGUUCGGGUUGGUUUCCCGACCGUCGCACUUCUCGCAGGCGCGCGCCAACGUCAGUUAGGGCUGGGUCUCAAAGGCGGUGGAAAGGUAGGUUUGGACUCUCGGGCCCGAACUGUUACAGUCCUCCGUUUGUCAUGGCCCGGACCUGACCGAGGAGCUUGCGGUGCAUGCCGUUCGGCUAGGGUCCCGUCUUCCCGGUCGGUCGUCGAAUGCGGUGGACUGCGUGCAGUGCGCCGCGACCGCUGCCGGUCGCGAGGGCGGUGAUUUCGUACUAUGCACCCACGACGUUGGCGGUCAUAUGGCCUCAUCCGACCCGUCUUGAAACACGGACCAAGGAGUCUAACAUGUGUGCGAGUCUUUGAGUGACCGAAACUCCGAGGCGUAAUGAAAGUGAAGGCGACUUCGGUCGCUGAGGUGAGAGCCUUUUUCCAAAAAAAGAAGGCGCAUCAUUGACCGACCUAUUCUACUCUUAGAAAGGUUUGAGUAAGAGCGCAUCUGUUGGGACCCGAAAGAUGGUGAACUAUGCCUGAAUAGGGUGAAGCCAGAGGAAACUCUGGUGGAGGCUCGUAGCGAUUCUGACGUGCAAAUCGAUCGUCAAAUUUGGGUAUAGGGGCGAAAGACUAAUCGAACUGUCUAGUAGCUGGUUCCCUCCGAAGUUUCCCUCAGGAUAGCUGGAACUUACGGCAGUUUUAUCAGGUAAAGCGAAUGAUUAGAGGUCUUAGGGUUAAAACAACCUUAACCUAUUCUCAACUUAAAUUGGUAAGAAGUCCGACUUGCUUAAUUGAAGCCGGACAGUGAAUGCGAGUUCCUAGUGGGCCAUUUUGGUAAGCAGAACUGGCGAUGCGGGAUGAACCGAACGCGCGGUUAAGGUGCCAAAGUCGACGCUCAUCAGACNCCACAAAAGGUGUUGGUUGCUCUAGACAGCAGGACGGUGGCCAUGGAAGUUGGAAUCCGCUAAGGAGUGUGUAACAACUCACCUGCCGAAGCAACUAGCCCUGAAAAUGGAUGGCGCUCAAGCGUCGCACCUAUACCGUGCCGUCGGAGCAGAUGCGAAGCUCCGACGAGUAGGAGGGCGUGGGGGUCGUGACGCAGCCUCUGGCGCGAGCCUGGGUGAAACGGCCUCCAGUGCAGAUCUUGGUGGUAGUAGCAAAUAUUCAAAUGAGAGCUUUGAAGACCGAAGUGGAGAAAGGUUCCAUGUGAACAGCAGUUGGACAUGGGUUAGUCGAUCCUAAGAGAUAGGGAAAUUCCGUUUGCAAGCGCCCGAUCUUGGGCCGCCUAUCGAAAGGGAAUCGGGUUAAUAUUCCCGAACCGGGACGCGGAUAUUGCCGUUCUCGGCAAAUGCGGUAACGCAAACGAACCCGAAGACGCUGGCGGGGGCCCUGGGAAGAGUUCUCUUUUCUUUUUAACGAGCUUUCACCCUGAAAUCAGCUUGCCUGGAGAUAGGGUUUAAUGCUCGGUAAAGCACCACACUUCUUGUGGUGUCCGGUGCGCUCUCGACGGCCCUUGAAAAUUCGGGGAAGACAUUGAUUUUCGUGUCCGGUCGUACUCAUAACCGCAGCAGGUCUCCAAGGUGAGCAGCCUCUGGUUGAUAGAACAAUGUAGGUAAGGGAAGUCGGCAAAAUAGAUC
rfam:Nematostella vectensis strain CH2 x CH6 NEMVEscaffold_310_Cont23332, whole genome shotgun sequence.